GAAUUCCGCCGCCCCGCCCCCAGCCCCGCCUGACAACCCGGCCCGGCGCCCCAAGCAGUCCCGGGCGCCGCGCGUCCUGUCCCGCCUGCGGCCCCAGCCCCUGCGCCGCUCGUCCGGGCCGCGAUCCUCCGCGGGACAGCUCGCGUGCGCGCUUGGGUCUGGGCCGGCCUCCGAGCCGCGCGUCCCUGCUGGCUGGGCCAUGUCGAGUAGCCAGGUCGCCAGACAGCCCGCUGCGCGGGAGCUGGGGCCCUGGGGUCUGCUGAUCUCUCCUCACUCGCUCUCAUGGUCUCCAGGACACAGGAUGGGCAUGAUUGAGAACGCAGGGACCUGAGUAACUGUUCAAAGCAGUGUCCUGCGCACAGAGAGCCUCAGCGACCGUGAAGUGUUAUUGGCACAAUGUUCCUCCUGAGAUCAUGUUCCCUCUUCAUGAACAGCAUUCAUUAAAAUUCACUGGUUGUAAAUAUCCUCACUUACUUGUUAUUUAAAAGUGUUUUUAUGUUUGGCUAUUGUUUUGCAUUAAUUCACUGGGAGUGUAAUUCUAGGUCAACAAUUAUCCACUUUCAGCACUUCCUGGGUAUUAUUCCAUGGUCCCCUUGGGUUCUGCCGAUCCCUUUGAGAAGCCAGUGGCAAGUCUAGUUGUGAUUUUAUGGUAAGAAAUGUGUUUCUCUCUGGUAAGCUUAAAACUCUUUGUUUGAUUUGGCAGUCUGCCAUGUUACUCAGUUCAGGAGUAGCUGUGUUUUGAUAUAUUCUGCCUGUAAUAUGCUAUGAUUUUUUGAGGCUACAGAGCCAAAACUGCCAGCAAUUCAGGACUCUUGAAGGUUCCAUCCCAGGACUAUGGAAUGUAUUUCUAUUAGGCUGCAUUCCUCUGAUUCUUCUCAGCAUUAUUUUGUACUUUUCCAUAGCCUUCCAUGUGUCUCAAUAAACAUAAUCCAUGUGUAAGUUUUUUAUGUUUGUCAUUUUCUAACUGCUUUUUUUGUUACUAAAUGAAACUGUAAAUUAAAUUUUAUUUAUUUUUUUAAUGAUUUACUUAUUUAUUUGAAAGACAGACUUACAGAGAAAGGGAGAAACAGAGACAGACAGAUCUUCCAUCCACUGGCUCACUCCCCAAAGGGCCACAAUUGCCAGAGCUAGGCCAAGCCAAAGCCAGGAGCUACAUCCACAUGGGUGCUCCAGGGCCUGGGGCAUGGUCUGCUGCUUUCCCAGAUUCAUGGGCAGGGAGCUGCAUCAGGCGUGGAGCAGAUGGGGCACGGAUCAGCACCUGUAUAAGAUGUGGGCAUUACAGGCCGUGGCGUCACCACUGUACUAGGAUGCCAGUCCUGUAAAGUGCAUUUUAUAAACUGAACUUGGAACCAACAACCUUAUUGAACUCAUUUAUUAAUCCUAAUAAUUUAAUUAUAGAUGCCUUUGAACUUCCCUUUGCUUUUAUUUCUUUGUCUCUGUCUUCUUUCUCUCUUUUUUUGAGAGAGAAAGCUUCUGAGGGUGAUAUUGUGGCUCAGCUGGUUAAGUAAGCUGUGACGUGCAAUGCCAGAAUCCCAUAAUAGUGCUCCAGUGUGAGUCCUUGCUGCACUGCUGCUGAUCUAGCUCCUGGCUAUUGCACCUGGGAAAGCAACAGAAGAUGUAUCAGUGCUUGGGACCCUGCCACCCAUGCGGGGACACAGGAUGGAGUUCUCAGCUCCUGACUUUGGGUGAACCAACCUUUGCCAUUGUGACCAUUUGGGAAACAAAUCAGUAGAUCUCUGUCUCUCUGUCUCUGUCUCUCUCUCUCUCUCCAUCGCUACUUUUAAAAUAAAUAAAGCAAAUUUUUUUCGUACAGGCAGAGUGGACAAUGAGAGAGAGACAGAGAGAAAAAUCUUCCUUUUGCCAUUGGUUUGCCCUCUGAUGGCCGCCGCGGCUGGUGUGCUGCGGCCGGAGCACCGCACUGAGCCGAUGGCAGAAGCCAGGUGCUUCCUCCUCGUCUCCCAUGGGGUGCAGGGCCCAAGGACUUAGGCCAUCCUCCACUGCACUCCCAGGCCACAGCAGAGAACUGGCUUGGAAGAGGAGCAACCGGGACAGAAUCCGGUGCCCGGACAGGAACUAGAACCCGGUGUGCCAGUGCCACAAGGCGGAGGAUUAGCCUAUUGAGCUGUGGCACCGGCAAUAAAGCAAAUUUUUAAAGAUCCAUGUAUUUAUUUGAAAGGUAGAGUUACAGAGAGGCAGAGGCAGAGAGAGAGGUCUCCCACCUGCUGGUUCACACCCCAAAUGGCCUCAAUGGCUGGAGCUAGGCUGAUCUAAAUCUAGGAGCCAGGAACCAGGAGCUUCUUCCAGGUCUCCCAUGUGGGUGCAAGGACCCAAGCACUUGGGUCAUCUUCUACUGCUUUCCCAAGCCAUAGCAGAGAGCUGUAUUGGAAGUGGGCUAGCCGAGUCUCAAACCAAUGUCCAUAUGGGAUGCCAGCACUGUAGACGGCAGCUUUACCUGUUAUGCCACAGCACUGGCCCCCAAAUCUUUUUUUUUUAAAUGCACAACUUCUUUUCACUUGUUCACUCCCCAAAUACAAUAGCCAAAUGUGGGCCAAGUAGAAAUCAGGAUCCAGGAAGUCCAUGCUGGUCUCCCACAUGAGUGGCAAGAGCCCAAGUACUUGGGCAGCUUGCUGGUGCUUUCCCAGGUUCAUUGGCAGGAAGCUAGAUCAAAAUUAGAGCAGCUGGGCCCAGAACUGACACUCCACGUUGGGAUGCCAGUAUUGCCAGGAGUGGCUUAAGCUGUUGCACCGCAACACAGGUCCCUGUUUUGGAUUUUCUAAGUACAGAAGUAUAUGUCUACAAAAAAUAGCAAUGCAAUUUCUCCCCUUAAGAUAUGGAUGAAGACUGUAUGCCAUCAUCAAAUUUCUAGAACUCCUUCUUCCUAUGUACAAAGGGGUAUAAAUAAUACACCCUCUGCAAGUUCAAGUACCUGAACUUUAGGGCAUAAAUCACAAGAUCAGUCAAAAUAUUAUUUUUUUCAGGUUUCUGACUUUUCUUCACAAAUGUUUAGUUCAACACCUCAGAUUUUCCUCAUAAUUUCCAAAACCUCUACAAGAUUUAGAGAGUAGAUUUCAACCUGAACUGAGUUUUCUGGAAAUUCAUCAGCAUGGAUUUUCAUGCAAGUUAUACCUCUCAAAUGUAAGUGCAAAGUUGUUGUUGGUAGUACUAAUGUAUAAAAUUAUCUAUGAGUUCCUACAGCCCACACAACCCUUGAUUAUUUCUUACACACCACAUGCUCACAUAUCAGGUUGAUUGCUAAUAACAAAGGAAAAGAAAUGAGUUGAGGGAUAGUCCUUGUAAAUAAAUUGUUAUCUUACUGAAUUUGAGCCUAUAUAAUGUUUAAAAAUUCAUUUUCAUUAGUUUUGUUUUGGCAAAGCUCAAAAUGGAUUAAAAUUUCCCAGUUUGAUUCAUAUACUAGUGAAGAACUUUAGAGACUGGGAAAAAGCAAGGAAAUGAGAUUAAACUUGGAUAUGGAAUGCUUGUUUUUACAUUCUACUAUUUCACAUAUCACAGGACACAAGGUAUGUUGGAUACAGAAAGACAAAUAUUGCAUGUUCUCUAUUUGUAGGAGUUCACUUUUUAAAAAAAUUUGAAACAACAAGAAAUGCCUUUUUUUGCAAAUCUAGUUUUGUCAAACUUUGUUUUAUACCUUUGAUAAACUAAUUGUUAACAAUGUUAUACCACUAUAGUUUUAAUGAUCUGUGAA